GACGAACGCUGGCGGCGUGCUUAAUACAUGCAAGUGGAGCGACGAACCAGGCUUCGGCCUGGGGCAGAGCCGCGAACGGGUGAGUAACACGUGGGUAACCUGCCUCGAUGACCGGGACAACCCGGGGAAACCCGGGCUAAUACCGGAUGUGCUGUCCCCACAUCAGUGGAGACAGGAAAGGAAGCUUCGGCCUCCGCAUCGAGAUGGGCCCGCGGCCCAUUAGCUUGUUGGUGUGGUAACGGCUCACCAAGGCUG
rnacentral:rRNA from 1 species